GACGAACGCUGGCGGCGUGCUUAACACAUGCAAGUCGAACGGAAAGGCCCUGCUUGCAGGGUACUCGAGUGGCGAACGGGUGAGUAACACGUGGGUGAUCUGCCCUGCACUUCGGGAUAAGCUUGGGAAACUGGGUCUAAUACCGGGUAGGAGCCAUCUUUAGUGUGGUGGUUGGAAAGUUUUUUCGGUGUAGGAUGAGCUCGCGGCCUAUCAGCUUGUUGGUGGGGUAAUGGCCUACCAAGGCGGCGACGGGUAGCCGGCCUGAGAGGGUGUACGGCCACAUUGGGACUGAGAUACGGCCCAGACUCCUACGGGAGGCAGCAGUGGGGAAUAUUGCACAAUGGGCGCAAGCCUGAUGCAGCGACGCCGCGUGGGGGAUGAAGGCCUUCGGGUUGUAAACUCCUUUCGCUAGGGACGAAGCUUUUUGUGACGGUACCUAGAUAAGAAGCACCGGCUAACUACGUG
rnacentral:rRNA from 1 species